AACAAAAUGCAGUGGGAGAUUUGCAUGACAUUAUGCCCAAUACUUCAGAUUUAUGAAGGUCUUUAAUUCCUUGCACACUUACAUGCUACAUAGGCCUGACAUAUGCCUGUGAAAAAACAGCCUC